rnacentral:rRNA from 1 species
GACGUAGGGCGCGAGCGUUGUCCGGAUUUAUUGGGCGUAAAGAGCGUGUAGGCGGCCAGGUAGGUCCGCUGUGAAAACUCGAGGCUCAACCUCGAGAUGUCGGCGGAAACCAUCUGGCUAGAGUCCGGAAGAGGAGAGUGGGAAUUCCUGGUGUAGCGGUGAAAUGCGCAGAUAUCAGGAAGAACACCCGUGGCGAAGGCGGCUCUCUGGGACGGUACUGACGCUGAGACGCGAAAGCGUGGGGAGCGAACAGG